AAAUCUCUCGACCUUUCUCUGAACGCGAAAGCUGUUUCGAGGAUGUCGGAUAUGGACCCUGUGACUUCUUCAAGAAGACACUGGUGCUUAAAGACAGUUCGAUUUCAAUUCGCUUGGGUUGAUCCUUCAUUACCCUAUAGAGUUGAACUUGUGAUAGAUGGAAAAGGUUGUAUUACCUUCUUACAUGUCGCAUGGUUCUUAACCCUAUGAUUUUGAGGGGUCCCCGAUCGUUUUAUUCCUUUUCACGUCACUGUGAUACGGGAUGAAACGAUUCUGUCGAAUUAUGAAAAACCAUUUUUAAUGACCAGCCUCUUGUUAUGAGAGUGCUCGGAA
rnacentral:misc_RNA from 1 species